rnacentral:lncRNA from 1 species
AAUUCAUGCUUUUGUUUACUAUAAUCACCGCACUUUUUGAUUUCUUAAGCUGAUUGGAUUGAUGUGAUUUGUUUGCUUUGCCAUUGGAAUCUGUUAAAUCUUUUGUCUUAAUAAGGUAAAGAUAGAGGUGCCAGAAAUAGGUAUAUGAAGGUAUGUAAUUUGAUUCUUAACCUGUGUAAAUAAUUCUUUCCUUACCUGCUUUUAUAUUGCAUUAAUUUGCUUGCUUUAAAUAAAUUAAAACAGAUUCUUACGAACAGAUUCUUACUUGCUUUAUUUGUGGUAAAAUUGUGGCUGAUUAUGGUACAGUAUUUCAUUGAUUGGUAAUAUUUUUAUCUAAGGAAAAUAUAUUAUAAUUGACCCCUUAAUUAUUUCUUUUCCAUUAGUGUUGUCCCCUCUCACAUAGUAUGCAAUCAAGGCCCUCUUGUCACAGUUGGGACUGGAACAACUUACACACUCUUAGCACUCUAACACUGGACAUUCACGAUUUAUACUCUGAACAAUCACUUGAACACUCCAACACUUGAUAUACACCUUACACUCUACCAAUUUGAGACUGACCUUCAUGCUUUUAAUACUUG